UAAGCUUACAUUUAAAAUAAAAUUGAUACAUUCUUUUGUUUAUAGAUACGCAUGAAACCAGAUAGAGUCACUCGAAUUGUUGUAGCCUGCGCUGUUCUUCACUAUUUAAGAUAACAGUGGGGUGAGCCUCAAGACGGCAGUGACUGUGACCAAGACCAACCUCCAACAGAGAUAUUUCAGGGGCCUAUGGAUGGAAAAGGAGUUAGGCAGCACAUUGUUCAGACAUAUUUCUAGGAUAAAAUAGAGCUAACAGAUGAUGAGAACCGGAGCUGGGUGUGACGGACGUGUUUUUUAAAUAUUGUGAAAUGAAUUUUAUAUAUUAAAAGUAUGUUUUAACCUU